CAGUCGCCGCGGUAAAACGAAGGGUGCAAGCGUUACUCGGAAUUACUGGGCGUAAAGCGUGCGUAGGUGGUGGUUUAAGUCCGUUGUGAAAGCCCUGGGCUCAACCUGGGAAUUGCAGUGGAUACUGGGUCACUAGAGUGUGGUAGAGGAUAGUGGAAUUUCCGGUGUAGCAGUGAAAUGCGUAGAGAUCGGAAGGAACAUCUGUGGCGAAGGCGACUAUCUGGGCCAACACUGACACUGAGGCACGAAAGCGUGGGGAGCAAACAGGAUUAGAGACCCGAGUAGUCCCUGUCUCUUAUAC
rnacentral:rRNA from 1 species